rnacentral:rRNA from 1 species
AGCGAACGCUGGCGGCAGGCUUAACACAUGCAAGUCGAGCGGGCACUUUCGGGUGUCAGCGGCGGACGGGUGAGUAACGCGUGGGAACGUGCCCUCUGGUUCGGAAUAACUCAGGGAAACUUGAGCUAAUACCGGAUACGCCCUUUUGGGGAAAGGCUUGCUGCCGGAGGAUCGGCCCGCGUCUGAUUAGCUAGUUGGUUAGGUAACGGCUCACCAAGGCGACGAUCAGUAGCUGGUCUGAGAGGAUGAUCAGCCACACUGGGACUGAGACACGGCCCAGACUCCUACGGGAGGCAGCAGUGGGGAAUAUUGGACAAUGGGCGCAAGCCUGAUCCAGCCAUGCCGCGUGAGUGAUGAAGGCCUUAGGGUUGUAAAGCUCUUUUAUCCGGGACGAUAAUGACGGUACCGGAGGAAUAAGCCCCGGCUAACUUCGUG